GAGGUGCUGAACUAUUUGUAGCGGUUUUUUCCCUUGGCCCUACUUUUUGAUUCGGAAGCCGUCCCUGAUAAAACCGUGGUUUUGUUAUUAUGGCCUCCCCCUAGACAUUGUGUGCCUAGAGGAUCUUUACCCGGUACGGUAGAACGGCAUCUUU
rnacentral:other from 1 species